UCGGAAGGGCGGAGGAUCGCUCCCGGCUCGCGCCGGGGGAGGAAAGUCCGAACACCACAGGGCGCGAUGCCGCGUAACUCCGGUUCAGCCGGAGAUACACGCGGGCGGUUCGCCGAGAGGCGUGCCGACGGACAGUGCCACAGAAACUAAGACCGCCACGCCGGGCAACCGGCGGGGCAAGGGUGAAAAGGUGCGGUAAGUGCGCACCGCCCCAAGCGCAAGCGCGGGGGCAUGGAAAACCCCAUCGGGUGCAAGGCCAAAUAGGGAACCAACGGAGCGGCUCGCUCCAGUUUCCGCGCAAGCGGGAUGGGUUCCGGGUAUUGGCUGCUGAGACAAAUGAUCCUCUCCGUCCGCAAGGGCGCAGACAGAAAUCGGCUUACAGCCCUUCCGAAGCC
rnacentral:RNase_P_RNA from 1 species